rnacentral:rRNA from 1 species
CCUACGGGUGGCAGCAGUGAGGAAUAUUGGUCAAUGGACGCAAGUCUGAACCAGCCAUGCCGCGUGCAGGAAGACGGCCCUAUGAGUUGUAAACUGCUUUUGUACGGGGGUAAACGCAGAGACGAGUAUCUUUCUGAAUGUACCGUACGAAUAAGGAUCGGCUAACUCCGUGCCAGCAGCCGCGGUACUACGGAGGAUUCAAGCGUUAUCCGGAUUUAUUGGGUUUAAAGGGUGCGUAGGCGGUCGGGUAAGUUAGAUGUGAAAUCCCGAGGCUCAACUUCGGAAUUGCAUCUGAUACUGGUCGGCUAGAGAGUAGUAGCGGUAGGCGGAAUGCAUGGUGUAGCGGUGAAAUGCGUAGAGAUCAGACAGAACACCGAUUGCGAAGGCAGCCUACUGGGCUACUACUGACGUUGAGGCGCGAAAGCGUGGGGAGCAAACAGGAUUAGAUACCCGGGUAGUC